UCCGGUUGAUCCUGCCAGAGGUUACUGCUAUCGAGGUUCGACUAAGCCAUGCGAGUCGAAUGUAGCAAUACAUGGCGUACUGCUCAGUAACACGUGGACAACCUGCCCUUAGGUUGGGUAUAAACCCGGGAAACUGGGUAUAAUCCCCUAUAGGUCUCGGCUGCUGGAAUGCAUCGAGAUUGAAAGCUCCGGCGCCUAAGGAUGGGUCUGCGGCCUAUCAGGUAGUAGUGGGUGUAGCGUACCUACUAGCCUACGACGGGUACGGGUUGUGAGAGCAAGAGCCCGGAGAUGGAUUCUGAGACACGAAUCCAGGCCCUACGGGGUGCAGCAGGCGCGAAAACUUUACAAUGCUGGCAACAGCGAUAAGGGAACCUCGAGUGCCAGGUUACAAAUCUGGCUGUCGAGAUGCCUAAAAAGCAUUUCAUAGCAAGGGCCGGGCAAGACCGGUGCCAGCCGCCGCGGUAACACCGGCGGCUCGAGUGGUAACCGUUAUUAUUGGGUCUAAAGGGUCUGUAGCCG
rnacentral:rRNA from 1 species